UUGGCGACCGGCGCACGGGUGCGUAACGCGUAUGUAACCUACCUAUAACAGGGGCAUAACACUGAGAAAUUGGUACUAAUUCCCCAUAAUAUUCGGAGAGGCAUCUCUCCGGGUUGAAAACUCCGGUGGUUAUAGAUGGACAUGCGUUGUAUUAGCUAGUUGGUAAGGUAACGGCUUACCAAGGCGACGAUCGGUAGCCGGACUGAGAGGUUGAUCGGCCGCAUUGGGACUGAGACACGGCCCAGACUCCUACGGGAGGCAGCAUG
rnacentral:rRNA from 1 species